rnacentral:lncRNA from 1 species
ACGAGCAUGUGUCUAAGCCGUGUAACUCACUAUUUGUGAUUUAUGACCACACGGGCAAGGACAUAGGCGUGUGACCAGAUCGUGUAACUCACUGUUUAUGUUUUGGAACCAAAAUGGAAAAGGAGAAGGGCAUGUGUCCAAGCUGUGUAAACCACACAGGCAUGUGUCUAGGCCGUGUGGCAUAUAAAUUAGGUUUGAAUCUUAUUUUUCUAAGGCCAGGUGUAUGGCCAACACUGAUCUUGACCUCC